CCUCCCGGACUACCCUAUCGGAAGCUAGGAGACCGAGGACCGGGCCUCGUCCUCCCGCGUCUCCCAGUGGGAGGGGUAGGAAGUCAGCAGUUUUCACCCUGCCCCCGGCCAGCUGACACUGAGGCUAAUGCUAGGGGACUUCAGGAUGUGGAGAAACUCAGAUGCAGUCCAUGCAGCCACUGGUGGUUCUAUUGACUUUGCAAGUUCUUCUUUGGCAAGAUGUAGUAACAAGGCUUGAAGUGCCCUCCUGCUCAAAACAACUAAAAAACUAUAUUGACAAAAUGUAUGAAACAAGUUUUCAGACAUUGGACAUCAAAGACUGUAGGACAAUGAUCCCUGAGAGAGGUGAGCCCUGUGAUUACCCUAGCUUGCUGCUGGAAACUCUUUCCAGGCAUGGCACAGGGAGGGAGAACUCAGGCAGAGCCUGGUAAUCUCCUUCAACUGAGGAUACAGAGUCCAGGGUGGCCAAAGUGUCUGGAAUUUUCAGGGCAAAGUACCAGAGGCAAGAGACCUGCACAGAGAGACUCUCUAGGGAUCUGAGAGAGUCCCCUCAAGUUUUCAGCUGGAUAAUAGUCAGUGCAUAUGAGGAAGGAAACCAUCCAUGUCUGUGGAAGAACCACCUGAAAGGAGCAGAGGAAACAAUUCUCAAAGCUCACAUAGGGAAAAGAAUAGUUCAUGUUCACCCUAGACAGAGUAGAAAACCUUAUAAUUCACCUAUCAUUGGUGGAGGGGGAAAAUUAGCCCUAGACUAAAGGCAACCCUAGUUCCAUAUAACAAAGAUUAAGGGCAAGCCUCCAAAAGAUCAAACUAUUUGUAAAUGAUUUAACUGCAUCUCAGAAGAAAGCUCAAAAAUAUAUGUAUGAGUACAAAAACAUCCAGUAUCCAACAAGGUAAAGUUCACAAUGUCUGGCAUUUAAUUUUUAAAAAUUACAAAAAUGCAAAGAACCAGGAAAAUACAACCUAUAAUGAGGACAACCGUAAAUCAGUAGAAUCAGACCCAGAAAUGCCACAGAUAAUAGAAUUACUAGACAAGGAUAUUAAAACAGGUGCUAUAACUAUAUUCCAUAUGUUCAAGAAGAUAGAGGAAAGAUUGAGCACAUUAAGUUGAGAUAUGGAAGAUAUGAAAAGACCCACAUUGAAAUACCAGAUGCAAACUACGAGAUGAAAAAUACAUUGCAUGAGGUUAGCAUCAGAUUAGAUACUGAAGAAGAAAAGAUUAGUGAAUCUGAAGACAGCCAUAAAAACUAAAAUCAAGCGAAAAAAGACUGAAAGAAAAAAAGAAACAGUAUAGGGGAGGCUGUCAUAUAACUUCAAGCAGCCUAAUGUAUGUAUAAUUGGAGUCCCUGAAGAAGGGUGUAGGGGACAGAAAAAUUACUUGAAGAAAUAAUGGCUGAAAACUCCAAAUUAGAUAAAAAUUAUAAACCCAUAGAUCAAAGAAGCUCAGUGAACCCCAAGAACAAGAAACAUGAAUAAAACUACACCAAAUAACGUGAUAAAUUACUUAAAACCAGUGAUAUGCCUCUAGAUAUGACUGACCUGUCAGUCUGUCCCAGAACUUUCCCUUUGGACAGGAACUGACUGAGCUAAGGACACAGUAUCCCUGGAACUUUGACAGCAUAUGAAGUUUAGUGUCUGCUCCAUUCCAAACUCUUUAAAUGAAUCAGAUCUGCCCUAAAACAUGAGAUCCAGCCUCAGGCAAUAUCAGCUGUCACUGGGUUUCAUCCAGACAGCCUGCCAUUUGCUGUCCAGAUUGUCCCAUUUAUUUUCUUGGCCUGCUUGGCUCGGCAAUCCCCUUGCAUUUUAAUAUAUGCUCAUGUCGUUUUUACUUGCACAAUCCAUUUGAGCAGGAUUUUCUGGCUUUGGCCUUCAGCACUCUCUCCAGACCUGAUUUAGUAAAUGUCCUCUGCCCCAGUGCUCAGGACCUAUGCCAGAUAGGCUGACCAUGAUUCCUACCAGUUUUCCUGUGAAAAAUUUUCAGGAAGUUUUAAGAGAGUAGAUUUUAAAAGUUCUCAUCACAAGAAUAAAAAAUUGUAACUGUGAGUUGAUGGAGGUUAACUAAACUCAUCCUCGUAAUCAUUUUGCAAUGUAUACAUAAUCAUUACAUUGUACAUCUAAAAUGAAUACAAUGUUAUAUGUCAAUUAUAUCUCAAUUAAAAAACUUUUCCAGAAAUAACUUUAAACUUUCUGACCAUGUGGUCAAACUCUAGGCAAUGUUGGGAUCCAGCUGGGUGCUAUGAAAGUUUCAAGUUUCAAGUUGAGAAUUUCAGUUGCAUUUGUUAUAUGAAUCUGGAGCCUGAAUUGAAAUAUGCCCUCACAUCAGCUAUGCCUUGUGAGAAAUACCAGUGUUCUGCUUCCUCAGUCAAAACUGAGCAAUAACUACUAGCACUGUUGGCAUGGAUACUAACUCUAUAACAAGGCACUUGUGUAUAAAUAAAGUUGAAUAAAGUAUUUUUGGAUAUCUUUUGUAUUACUGCAAAAG